AUACGGAAGGUCCGGGCGUUAUCCGGAUUUAUUGGGUUUAAAGGGAGCGCAGGCGGAGAUGCAAGCGUGACGUCAAAUUUCGGGGCUCAACCCCGUCUCGCGUCGCGAACUGCGUCCCUUGGUUGCGGGAAGGGGAGGCGGAACUCGUGGUGUAGCGGUGAAAUGCAUAGAUAUCACGAAGAACUCCGAUCGCGAAGGCAGCCUUCCGGCCCGUCAACGACGCUCAUGCCCGAAGGUGCGGGUAUCAAACAGGAUUAGAUACCCUGGUAGUCCGCACAGUAAACGAUGGACACCCGCGGUUUGGCCUGUAUGGCUGAGCCGCCAAGCGAAAGCGUUAAGUGUCCCACCUGGGGAGUACGCCGGCAACGGUGAAACUCAAAGGAAUUGACGGGG
rnacentral:rRNA from 1 species